GUUAAGUAAGGGCGUAUGGCGGAUGCCUAGGCUCUCAGAGGCGAAGAAGGACGUGAUAAGCUGCGAAAAGUUACGGGGAGAAGCACAUAUUUUAUGAUCCGUAAAUAUCCGAAUGGGGCAACCCGGUAUGUUGAAGACAUAUCACACCGUAAGGUGAGCAAACCCGGCGAACUGAAACAUCUAAGUAACCGGAGGAAGAGAAAACAAAAGUGAUUCCGUUAGUAGUGGCGAGCGAACGCGGAUUAGCCCAAACCAAUUUUGUUACGGCAAAGUUGGGGUUGUAGGACCACGAUAUUCGAAUCUAAGUGAACUAGAACUGUUUGGAAAGACAGACCAAAGAGGGUGAUAGUCCCGUAUGGGUAAGCGAAGAUAAGAUAGUGGUAUCCUGAGUAGCGCGGGGCACGUGGAACCUUGUGUGAAUCUACCAGGACCAUCUGGUAAGGCUAAAUACUCCUGAGAGACCGAUAGUGAACUAGUACCGUGAGGGAAAGGUGAAAAGAACCCUAAGAAAGGGAGUGAAAGAGAACCUGAAACCGUACGCUUACAAGCGGUCGGAGCCCAUUUACUGGGUGACGGCGUGCCUUUUGCAUAAUGAGCCUACGAGUUACUUUAUCUAGCAAGGUUAAGUAUUUAAGAUACGGAGCCGUAGCGAAAGCGAGUCUGAAUAGGGCGUUUAGUUAGGUUGAGUAGACGCGAAACCGAGUGAUCUACCCAUGGGCAGGUUGAAGCUGUGGUAACACACAGUGGAGGACCGAACCAGUUGACGUUGAAAAGUCUUUGGAUGACCUGUGGGUAGGGGUGAAAGGCCAAUCAAACUCCGUGAUAGCUGGUUCUCCCCGAAAUGCAUUUAGGUGCAGCGUUGAGUAAAAGUUUUAUAGAGGUAGAGCUACUGAUUGGAUGCGGGGGCUUCACCGCCUACCAAUUCCUGACAAACUCCGAAUGCUAUAAAAUGUUUCUCAGCAGUGAGGGCAUGGGUGCUAAGGUCCAUGUCCGAGAGGGAAAGAACCCAGACCAUCAGCUAAGGUCCCCAAAUAUAUACUAAGUUGAAUAAACGAGGUUUGACUGCCCAGACAGCUAGGAUGUUGGCUUGGAAGCAGCCAUUCAUUUAAAGAGUGCGUAACAGCUCACUAGUCGAGCGGUCGAGCAUGGAUAAUAAUCGGGCAUAAGUAUAUUACCGAAGCUAUGGACUUGUAAAAGUGGUAGGGGAGCAUUGUAGUUGUGUAGAAGGUGAACUGUGAGGUUUGCUGGAACGGCUACAAAAGAAAAUGUAGGCAUAAGUAACGAUAAAGGGGGCGAGAAACCCCCUCACCGAAAGACUAAGGUUUCCUCAGCGAUGCUAAUCAGCUGAGGGUUAGUCGGGACCUAAGGCGAACCCGAAAGGGGUAGUCGAUGGACAACGGGUUAAUAUUCCCGUACCUGCUCACACUAAAAGUGACGGAGGCGUGUAGUUAAUGCGUACUGACGGAAUAGUACGUUGAAGCCAGUGGUAACACGGCGAUAGUACACAGAAGCUUCGGCGGACGUGAUAAUUUAGCGAAGCGACUUCCAAGAAAAGCGAGUGAAGCAGCCCGUACCGUAAACCGACACAGGUAGUUGGGAUGAGAAUUCUAAGGUGCUCGAGAGAUUCAUGGCUAAGGAACUAGGCAAAAUAGACCUGUAACUUCGGGAGAAAGGUCGCCCCACUCCGGUGGGGCCGCAGUGAAAAGGUCCAGGCGACUGUUUAUCAAAAACACAGGGCUAUGCUAAAUUGAAAGAUGACGUAUAUGGCCUGACACCUGCCCGGUGCUGGAAGGUUAAGUGGAGGGUUUAGCUUCGGCGAAGAUCUGAAAUGAAGCCCCAGUAAACGGCGGCCGUAACUAUAACGGUCCUAAGGUAGCGAAAUUCCUUGUCAGGUAAGUUCUGACCCGCACGAAAGGCGUAACGAUUUGGGCACUGUCUCAACGAGAGACUCGGUGAAAUUGUAGUACCAGUGAAGAUGCUGGUUACCCGCGACAGGACGGAAAGACCCCAUGGAGCUUUACUGCAGGUUGAUAUUGAGUGUCUGUGUGACAUGUACAGGAUAGGUAGGAGCCAUUGAAGCCGGAACGCUAGUUUCGGUGGAGGCGCUGGUGGGAUACUACCCUUGUGACAUGGCCACUCUAACCCGCGACCGUAAUCCGGUCGGGAGACAGUGUCAGUCGGGCAGUUUGACUGGGGCGGUCGCCUCCUAAAAUGUAACGGAGGC
rnacentral:rRNA from 1 species